rnacentral:rRNA from 1 species
AUUGAACGCUGGCGGCAUGCCUUACACAUGCAAGUCGAACGGCAGCACGGGAGCUUGCUCCUGGUGGCGAGUGGCGAACGGGUGAGUAAUACAUCGGAACGUACCCAGUAGUGGGGGAUAACGCACCGAAAGGUGCGCUAAUACCGCAUACGACCUAAGGGUGAAAGCGGGGGACCGUAAGGCCUCGCGCUAUUGGAGCGGCCGCUGUCUGAUUAGCUAGUUGGCGGGGUAAAGGCCCACCAAGGCGCCGAUCAGUAGCUGGUCGGAGAGGACGAUAAGCCAGACUGGGACUGAGACACGGCCCAGAGUCCUACGGGAGGCAGCAGUGGGGAAUUUUGGACAAUGGGGGCAACCCUGAUCCAGCAAUGCCGCGUGUGCGAAGAGGGCCUUCGGGUUGUAAAGCACUUUUGUCAGGGAAGAAAUCUUCUGGGCUAAUACCCCGGAAGGAUGACGGUACCUGAAGAAUAAGCACCGGCUAACUACGUGCCAGCCGCCGCCGUAA